rnacentral:lncRNA from 1 species
UGGCAGAGUUUUUCAAAGUGAGAUCUGAGGACCACCUGCAUCAGUCUUGGGGUGCUUGGGUGCUUCCAUUUAAAAUGCUGAUUACUGGUUUCACUCCCAGGGGAGCGGGGUAUGAGUGUGGCAGCCUAUGUAGUUCAAAAAUAUUUGUUAUUCCUCCCUGGGAGAAAAUUAUAUCCCUCUGUCUACUGUCAGAUUUGGCCAUCGCAGACUUAGCUGUGAAUAUUUCAGCAUAUAUAUCUAAAAGAUAACUGUUUUAGAAAACAUAAUCAUGGCCAGGCGCGGUGGCUCAUGCCUAUAAUCCCAGCACUUUGGGAGGCCAAGGCGGGUGGAUCACGAGGUCAGGAGUUUGACACCAGCCUGGCCAACAUAGUGAAACCCCGUCUCUACUAAAAAUACAAAAAUUAGCCGGGCAUGGUGGUGUGCGCCUGUAGUCCCAGCUAUUCGGGAGGCUGAGGCAGGAGAAUGGCGUGAACCCGGGAGGUGGAGGUUGUGGUGAGCCAAGAUUGCGCCACUGCACUCCAUCCUGGGUGACAGUGAGACUCUGUUUCAAAACAACAACAAAAAAGAAAACCACUUUACCACUGUCACACCUAAACAACUUUGAUACAAACUUAUCAAAUAAAUAUUCAGUGUUUAAA